UACGUAGGGGGCAAGCGUUGUCCGGAUUUAUUGGGCGUAAAGCGCUCGCAGGUGGUUCGUCGCGUCGUGCGUGAAAGACCCCGGCUCAACUGGGGGGUGUCGUGCGAUACGGGCGGACUGGAGGCCAGUAGGGGGAUGCGGAAUUCCGGGUGUAGUGGUGGAAUGCGUAGAGAUCCGGAGGAACACCAGCGGCGAAGGCGGCAUCCUGGACUGGUCCUGACACUCAGGAGCGAAAGCGUGGGGAGCGAACAGG
rnacentral:rRNA from 1 species